rnacentral:rRNA from 1 species
CAGUAACGGCGAGUGAAGCGGCAGCAGCUCAAAUUUGAAAUCUGGUCCCUCCGGGGCCCGAGUUGUAGUUUGUAGAGGAUGCUUCGGGUGCGGUGCCGGUCUAAGUUCCUUGGAACAGGACGUCAUAGAGGGUGAGAAUCCCGUAUGUGACUGGCGACCAAGCCUAUGUGAAGCUCCUUCGACGAGUCGAGUUGUUUGGGAAUGCAGCUCUAAAUGGGUGGUAAAUUUCAUCUAAAGCUAAAUACCGGCCAGAGACCGAUAGCGCACAAGUAGAGUGAUCGAAAGAUGAAAAGCACUUUGGAAAGAGAGUUAAAAAGUACGUGAAAUUGUUGAAAGGGAAGCGCUUGCGACCAGACUUGCCCGCGGGUGAUCAGCCGUUAUUUUUACCGGUGCACUCGCCCGUGGCCAGGCCAGCAUCGGUUCGGGCGGUUGGAUAAAGGCCCGGGGAAUGUAGCUCCCUCCGGGGAGUGUUAUAGCCCGGGGUGCAAUGCGGCCAGCCUGGACCGAGGACCGCGCUCCGGCUAGGAUGCUGGCGUAAUGGUUG